AUUGAACGCUGGCGGCAGGCCUAACACAUGCAAGUCGAGCGGAUGACGGGAGCUUGCUCCUUGAUUCAGCGGCGGACGGGUGAGUAAUGCCUAGGAAUCUGCCUGGUAGUGGGGGACAACGUUUCGAAGGGAACGCUAAUACCGCACGCGUCCUACGGGAGAAAGCAGGGGACCUUCGGGCCUUGCGCUAUCAGAUGAGCCUAGGUCGGAUUAGCUUGUUGGUGAGGUAAUGGCUCACCAAGGCGACGAUCCGUAACUGGUCUGAGAGGAUGAUCAGUCACACUGGAACUGAGACACGGUCCAGACUCCUACGGGAGGCAGCAGUGGGGAAUAUCGGACAAUGGGCGAAAGCCUGAUCCAGCCAUGCCGCGUGUGUGAAGAAGGUCUUCGGAUUGUAAAGCACUUUAAGUUGGGAGGAAGGGUUGUAGAUUAAUACUCUGCAAUUUUGACGUUACCGACAGAAUAAGCACUGGCUAACUCUGUGCCAGCAGCCGCCGUAACAC
rnacentral:rRNA from 1 species